UACGUAGGUGGCAAGCGUUGUCCGGAUUUAUUGGGUUUAAAGGGUGCGUAGGCGGUUCUAUAAGUCAGUGGUGAAAUACGGCAGCUCAACUGUCGAGGUGCCAUUGAUACUGUAGAACUUGAGUACAGACGAGGUAGGCGGAAUUGACGGUGUAGCGGUGAAAUGCUUAGAUAUCGUCAAGAACACCGAUAGUGAAGACAGCUAACUAAGCUUUAACUGACGCUGAGGCACGAAAGUGUGGGGAUCAAACAGG
rnacentral:rRNA from 1 species